UUUUUUUUGAGACAGAGUCUUGCCCAGGCUGGAGUGCAGUGGCAUGAUCUCGGCUCACUGCAACCUCCGCCUCCCGGGUUCAAGCGAUUCUUCUGCCUCAGCCUCCCGAGUAGCUGGGACUACAGGCACGUGCCACCACACCCAGCUAAUUUUUGUAUUUUCAGUAGAGACGAGGUUUCGCCAUAUUGGCCAGGCUGGUCUCGAACUCCUGACAUCGUGAUCCACCCACCUCGGUCUCCCAAAAUGCUGGGAUUACAGGUGUGACCCACCGUGCCCAGCCGUCAGUCCCUUCUUAAAAGCCCUGUGGCAGCUCCUCAUGGCCCCAGGAUGAAGAGGAGAGACGGAGGGGCAAGCAGUUUGCAAACCAUCUGGACACUGGUGCCUGGGGAGGAGGCAACAACUCCUGCACUCAGCCCCUCGGCUGCGGAACUGGAAGAGGACACAGCCCCAAGGACAGAGACAAACAAACUGUGGGAGCCUUAGCUUCAGAGUCAAAUAAAUCUACGUUUCAUCCUGUUUCUGCCACUUCCUGGCUCCUGUAGUGGGCGCCAUGAUGUUCUACCCUGAAUGGGAG
rnacentral:lncRNA from 1 species